rnacentral:rRNA from 1 species
GUUGUAUGGUUAAGUGACUAAGCGUACACGGUGGAUGCCUUGGCAGUCAGAGGCGAUGAAGGACGUAGUAACUUGCGAUAAGCCCAGAUUAGGUAGUAACAACCAUUUGAGUCUGGGAUUUCCGAAUGGGGAAACCCACUUGCAUAAGCAAGUAUCGCUGCGUGAAUACAUAGCGCAG